rnacentral:rRNA from 1 species
UAUUGGUCAAUGGGCGCGAGCCUGAACCAGCCAAGUCGCGUGAGGGAAGACGGUCCUAUGGGUUGUAAACCUCUUUUGUCGGGGAGCAAAAGACGCCACGCGUGGCGUUCCGAGAGUACCCGAAGAAAAAGCAUCGGCUAACUCCGUCCCAGCAGCCGCGGUAAUACGGAGGAUGCGAGCGUUAUCCGGAUUUAUUGGGUUUAAAGGGUGCGCAGGCGGAAGAUCAAGUCAGCGGUAAAAUUGAGAGGCUCAACCUCUUCGAGCCGUUGAAACUGAUUUUCUUGAGUGAGCGAGAAGUAUGCGGAAUGCGUGGUGUAGCGGUGAAAUGCAUAGAUAUCACGCAGAACUCCGAUUGCGAAGGCAGCAUACCGGCGCUCAACUGACGCUCAUGCACGAAAGUGUGGGUAUCGAACAGG